rnacentral:rRNA from 1 species
GUCUUUUUGAUUAUAAUAUAAAGUCUGACCUGCCCAAUGAAAAUUUAAAUGGCCGCGGUAUUUUGACCGUGCAAAGGUAGCAUAAUAAUUAGUUUUUUAAUUGAAAGCUGGAAUGAAUGGUUGGACGAGAAAAUAACUGUCUCAAAUUAAUUUAAUUAGAAUUUUAUUUUUAAGUUAAAAAGCUUAAAUUUUUUUAAAAGACGAGAAGACCCUAUAGAGUUUUAUAUAUUUAUAAUUAAAUUUAAUUUAGUAUUUUAGUAUUUUUAUUUUUAAAUGUAUUUUAUUGGGGUGAUAAAAAAAUUAAUAAAACUUUUUUUUUAUAAUAACAUUGAUAUAUGAAUCAUUGAUCCAUUUUUUAUGAUUAAAAGAUUAAGUUACCUUAGGGAUAACAGCGUAAUUUUUUUUUAGAGUUCUUAUCGAAAAGAGAGAUUGCGACCUCGAUGUUGGAUUAAAAUUAAUAUUUGGUGUAGAGGCUAAGUUAUUAGGUCUGUUCGACCUUUGAAAUUUUACAUGAUCUGAGUUUAAACCGGUGUGAGCCAGGUUGGUUUCUAUCUUUAAAUAAUUAAAAUAUUUUAGUACGAAAGGACCAAAUAUUUAUAAAAUUUAUUGAAUUUUGAAUGAUAUUAG